UUGGGAGCUCUCCCAUAUGGUCGACCUGCAGGCGGCCGCGAAUUCACUAGUGAUUAGAGUUUGAUCCUGGCUCAGAAUAAAUGCUAUUGGUAUGCUUAACACAUGCAAGUUUAAUGUUUUUAUUUUAAAGACAUGGCAAACGGGUGCGUAACACGUGAAUAAUCUACCCUUUAAUUCAGCAUAAUUGUUUUUAAUAAAAAUUCUGAAUAAUACAUAAAGUUUUAAAAACGUUAAAGGAUGAGUUUGCGGAAGAUUAGGUAGUUGGUAGUGUAAGGGACUACCAAGCCCGCGAUCUUUAGCUGAUUUGAAAGAAUGAUCAGCCACAUUGGGACUGAGACACGGCCCAAACUUUUUUAAAGGCAGCAGUGAGGAAUAUUGGACAAUGGGCGAAAGCCUGAUCCAGCAAUACCAAGUGAGUGAAGAAGGCUAAUAGGUUGUAAAGCUCUUUCAUUAAGGAAGAAAAAAGACAGUACUUAAAAAAGAAGUUCCGGCUAAUUUCGUGCCAGCAGCCGCGGUAAUACGAAUCGAAUUCCCGCGGCCGCCAUGGCG
rnacentral:rRNA from 1 species